UUUACCGUAUCUAUAAAUGCUAGGACUCAGGUAGCUUUGGUCCAAACCCGCUGACUUAUGAAACUGCUCCGGUGUAGCAGAAGCUAAAGCUCUAUAAACUCGUUCCAAAUGAUAAGGCAACCCUAAACUGAAGAUUUUUCUGCAUUUCAGCUUCUGGAUGCAAACUCCUUGGAUUCUCUGAAGAGACUGGUUCAUUCACAAUUGGGAGGAAACCUAUUCAUAAUAAGUAGAAAACUAUAAUUUCAGUACUUCGUGUGUGUGUUUGUUCAAACUGCUGCACAAUUUUUGUUACAAUGUCUAUGUUGUCAAGAUUACGCUGUAUUACUGUGGAUGUCACUGGUACACUGAUAGCUUACAAAGGGGACCUUGGUGACUACUAUUGCAUGGCAGCCAAAGCUAUUGGACUCCCUUGUCCUGACUAUAAACGUGUUCAUGAGGGCUUUAAACUGGCAUAUAAAGAGAUGGCGACAAAGUAUCCAUGUUUUGGUUAUGCAGCAAAAAUGCCCAACGUUGUCUGGUGGAAAACUUGUGUCAGAGAUUCCUUCAUCAGGGCUGGAUAUGACUAUGAUGAGGAGACAUUUGAGAAGAUAUUUAGACGCAUAUAUUCAUCGUUUGGUUCAUCUGCACCAUAUACUGUCUUCGCAGACUCUCAACCAUUCUUAAGAUGGGCACGUGAGAAGGGUCUUAAAGUUGGGAUUAUUAGCAAUGCAGAAUACCGAUAUCAGGAUGUAAUCCUUCCAGCCUUGGGUUUGAGACAAGGAACUGAGUGGGACUUUGGUGUGUUUUCUGGUCUUGAAGGUGUUGAGAAACCAAACCCAAGAAUCUAUGAGAUAGCCCUUGAAAAAGCUGGAAAUAUAGCACCUGAGGAAACUCUGUACAUUGGAGACAGCUUUCGCAAAGACUACGUCCCUGCAAAGAGUGUGGGAUUUUGUCUUGCCAGUCACUUGGUCCUUUGUAUCUUCUCUUCCACCAUCAAAGGCAAUUAGAAGCCAAAUGGGGAUGAAGCUUGGAGAGAAGAAGAAAAUAAAUGAAUAUGGUGGAGCUAAAAAUGAAGUUAUAAAUGGCUCGAGAGAACAGGUAGCUAAAUACAUGCAGAAGAUUCUGCAACAAAGCGUUAUGGCUUCAGGUGCAAGGCAUGCACUUUCAGGCCCACUCGAUGUUGGUGGUAUUGAUGCUACUAGAUAUCUUGCUAAUGAAAAGCAAAAAGCUUGGGGAUCCUGGACAUAUGCACUUUUUUGGAUAUAUCAAUUUGGUUGUAUUAUAUAAUGUCUACAGUUUGUAUAUAUUGCAUUACUCUAUGUAAUCGCGGAAAUGGAAAAUAAAAUGCCAACCAGAAAAUGAGCUUUGAUAUUCUUCAUGUAUUGGCCAUACGAUGGAAGUGAAAUGGAUGGAUAGAAAAGAGAAAGGCACAUCAUCAAACUAAGGAGGCAUAGAAGAAAAUUCGGUUAAAACUAGUUAAGUUGGUUCAACCACCUUUAUAGGUAAGAUUUUAUUA